rnacentral:rRNA from 1 species
AUUGAACGCUGGCGGCAUGCUUUACACAUGCAAGUCGAACGGCAGCGCGGGCUUCGGCCUGGCGGCGAGUGGCGAACGGGUGAGUAAUACAUCGGAACGUGCCCAUUAGUGGGGAUAGCUCGGCGAAAGUCGGAUUAAUACCGCAUACGACCUGAGGGUGAAAGCGGGGGAUCUUCGGAACUCUCGCUCUUUGCGCGGCCGAUGGCAGAUUAGCUAGUUGGUGGGGUAAAGGCCUACCAAGGCGACGAUCUGUAGCUGGUCUGAGAGGACGAACAGCCACACUGGGACUGAGACACGGCCCAGACUCCUACGGGAGGCAGCAGUGGGGAAUUUUGGACAAUGGGCGAAAGCCUGAUCCAGCAAUGCCGCGUGUGUGAUGAAGGCCUUCGGGUUGUAAAGCACUUUUGGCGGGAACGAAAAGGACUGUGCCAAUACCACGGUUCGAUGACGGUACCCGCAGAAUAAGCACCGGCUAACUACGUG